GCGCGCAGGCAUCUUGGAGCAGGUAACGCGAUACCGGCUGGCGGCAGCGUCGUGAGGUGUGGCUUGCUGCGUCCUUCACCCACGAGCACCCUGACUCACCAGUCGGCUAGACACACGGUUCAUCAUGAUCCUCUCGGGAAGGUCCAUGGUGUUGGCAAUGGUCAACACUAUCAACUGGGCUCCUUUAUGAGUAGGCCAAUCAAAGAGGUUGUACAUUACAUCUUGUUUGUGAGUCCAAAGAAGGUCAAGCUGCCAAAGACAAUAUACAUACAAUGUCACUCAGAGACCGAGCCAGAGCACAUAAAGUGAUAACCUGCACUACUGAGUUAGUGCAUGUCCUGUCCACAUGGCACUUUCUAAUCAGUAAGGGAAUCAAUGGACAGGCUUCAGUUGCACACUAUCUGCUCCUGGGAGAGUGAAUCUGUGCAGCCACCCCUUCUCUUGUACUCCUGGGGCACCUCACAGUGGGGCAAGUAGACAAUGCCACCAGACAGAAGGACUGGGUAAGGCCAAACAGGCUCAGACUCCAGGGAAUCUCAGAAUUGAGAACAGCAGGAGUGGAGCCAGCUCCCUGCCAAGCUCUAGCUGUUCUGGAGCAGGAGUGGAGUAACAGUCAUAGCUCCAAUUGUUCCCCAGCUACAGUAUGUGCAGACUCUAAUUGUUUAAAAGGUCAUUCAUCAAUUGGGAGAAAACAGCCCCCGAAGGAAAAGUACCAGAAGUCUACAAGAUGUUUUAAUUAUGCUCCAGGGAUCACUUCUUCUGGGGCUAAUGCCACUACCUGAAUUUGGGAAGUGAGAUGAACAAGAAAAUGUGAAGACUACACAGCUAAGAAAGACUGUCAUGGCUGCAGUGAAAACUAUUUAACCUCCCAUCUUUAUAUGAAAUGAGACAGACCCUGUACAGCACACUGACUGAGAAACUGAGCAUUUAAAAAGCCAUGAAUAGUUCAAGGAUUUUGAUGAAAUAUAAAUUAUUCCUAUUUUGAUUUUGAGACAGUGUCUUUCUAUGUAGCCCUGGCCUGCCUCCAACUCAGAGAACUGCCAGCCCCUCCCCUCCCUCCUGUGGGCCCAACAAAUUAUUCUUUUUCUCUCUCAUAGGCUUUACUAUGAGACAGGGUCUCCUGUAAAUUCUGAUCCUAACUCUACUUCUUGAGUAUUGGAAUUCCAGAUGUGUACAACUACAGCUGUGUAUUGAACCCAGGGCUUCAUUCAUGCUAGGCAGAUGGUCUACUAACUGGACUAUAUCCUCACCCUGCCUGGCUUCUCUGCUUCAUUCUUGCUAUCGUCUCAGUUCAAGCACAUAUUAGCCCAUUCUUUGCUUCCCCACCCCCACCCCCAAUCUAUUAAUCUAGGUCAAACUGGAUCAACACGAUAAACAGUAACGGUAGUCCCACACAGCUCCAAGGUCAGAUGACUUAAACUCUUCUCUUCCUCUCCUCUCCCCCCUUACCCCUUCUCUGUUUGGUUUUGAGACCUCUGGCUAUCCUGUAGACCUGGCUGGCUUAGAACUCUGAGACCUACCUGCCUUUGCUUCCCAAAUUCUGGGAUUAAAGGCACGAGCCACCACCUUCCUGCCUCUGUUCAUUGCCUUCUAAGAUCAAGCUCCACCUCACUUGUUGCUUGGUGUUCCCUAAAUGGCCUUGCACACUAGCAGGCUGGCUUUAAUCACAGUCCUGCUUAUAACUCUCUGUGUUCCUUACACACCAUUCUCCUCUGCCCUUCUGUUGUAGCUACUUUCUGUUGCUAUGAUAAAACACUGACCAAAGCUAACUGGUGGAGGAAAAGAUUCAUUUCACCUUACAGCUUGCAGUCAUGGUAAAAGUCCAUCACUGAGGGAACUGGAGACAGGAACUUAAGCAGAGAUCAAGGAAAAAUGAAUGCUGUUUUCUGGCCUAUGACCCAGAAGGUAGCAUACUCAGUGGGCUGGGCUCUUCACAUUAGUCAUUAAUAAAAUGCCCCAGAGACUUGCUUACAGACCGAUUUGUUGGAGGUAUUUCCAAACACCUCUCUUUAUGUCAAGUUGAGAAAAGCUAAACAGCACAUCUUUCAAAUCUAUGUGCUUCAAUGUCUGCAUCUACCUUUCCUGCCUUCAUUUAACCAUGAAAUAGAUUUCUAUAGCCAGGUCAGACCAGUCUCUGUGGCCAAUUGUUAAACCAAUUCCCCACCGAAAGACAAACCUCACAAGAGAGCAUUAUCCUGCUAUUGGGAUAUGAAAACAGCUCUAGAAAUAAGACUCAACAGGUCACCUCCUGAAUCAAAAAAUCUUGGAACACAGGCUUGGCUUUAGCAAUCAGCACUCUCUGUACUGAGUUAUGUAAGGUGAAGUCCUCAUUAUAUACUCAGCCUUACAAUGCUCUGUGCAUUUCUCACUAAGGCAGUUUCUAAUUCCUGCUCUUCUUUCUGGUCAAAAUCCCAAUGUUACUUCCUCUAGAAAGCCCAGAGCAUAUGUUCUAUGCUGUCAGUAUCUGUGUGCUGGGGCAAGCAGCCAAACAGAGAUGAUUAGAACAGAAUUCAAAUUAGAACUAGUAAUAUUCCUGAAGCCAUGCAGUGUGGGCGCUAAAGAUAGAAGCAGGAUUUAAGGCACGAACCUGAACAGGGCCAAUGAUGGUCUCCACAUUAAUCUUGUUAUCCCAGUCAGAACAGUCAUACCAGAAUAUCUCCUGUGCAGGAGGACUCUGGCCUAACAAGUGCCUUUUAGAGACAGGAAUCUCAAGGAAUCUGACAAACCACUGUACUCGUGCACAUUUCUUGGGAGGAACUUCAGAUCCUAGGAGGGUUGGGGAGAACGGGAAGAUUAAAUAGCAAGGCAAACAACACAGCACUGACUAUUGCCUACGUGUCAAACACUACACCACAGAUAUGCUCACUCCUGAUAAACUCUACCAAGCAUCUACUAUAGCUAUCUAUCUCCUCACAGGCUAAGAAGCCAAGUUUCAACGACCUAAUAUUAUUUGUCAAUGACCAAAGGACCAAUCAGCAGCAAAAUGACUCCACAAACACUUUUUAAGUUGAUCCACUUUCCUUUAUUUUUGGCUUUUAGAGGCAGGGUUAUGUAGUCCAGGCUGUCCUAGAAUUGGCUUUGUAGAUCAGGCUGGCCUCAAACUCACAGAGAUCCACCCGCCUCUGCCUCCAGAGUGCCGGGAUUAAAGGCGUGUGCCACAGGCCUGGAGUUGCUCCAUGUUUAAAAAAAAAAAAAAGAUUUUAUUUUUAUUUGAUAUGUAUGAGUGUUUUGACUGAAUGCAUAUAUGAGCAUAAUGUAUAUGCAGUAUCCAUGGAGGCUAAAAAGGGGACUCAGCUCCUCAGGAAUUGGAGUUGUAGACACGGGUACUAGGAACUAGCCCUGGGUCCCCUAACUGUGUUUCCAGGUACUGAACUCCCUUUUCCAGCCCCGGGCUCUACGCCUUUAUAAUGUUUAUCAGUACACAAGGGCAUUUCCAAAGAGAUGGAAAACAAGUUACUGGGGCUGGAGAGAUAGAUGGCUCAGUGGUAAAGAGCACUGGCUGCUCUUUUAGAGCUCCUUAGUUCAAUUCCCAGCAACCACAUGGUGGCUCACAACCAUCUGUAAUGGGAUCCAGUGUCCUCUUCUGGUGUGUCUGGAGACAUCAACAGUGUAAUGCAUAAAAUAAA
ensembl:processed_transcript Gm12743 predicted gene 12743